rnacentral:rRNA from 1 species
GACGUAGGGGGCAAGCGUUGUUCGGAAUUAUUGGGCGUAAAGCGCUCGUAGGCGGGACAGGAAGUUCGUGUUGAAAGACCUCGGCUCAACUGAGGGACCGGCUCGAAUACUCUUGUUCUUGAGGCAACCAGAGGGUGAUGGAAUUCCCGGUGUAGCGGUGAAAUGCGCAGAUAUCAGGAGGAACACCGAUGGCGAAGGCAGUGGGCUGGGCCGGCACUGACGCUGAGGAGCGAAAGCGUGGGGAGCGAACAGG